AUGAUCAAAAUUGGUGUGGCUAAAGCUUUUGAUAGAAUUGAGUGGCAUUUUAUUGCUUCUGCUCUAGCUCGUAUAGGACUUCAUUAGCAUUUCAUAAAUAUUAUUCAUGCUUGUAUCUCUUCGCCAAUUUUUUCUGUUAUCAUCAAUGGUCAGUCCUUCGCUCAUUUUAAAAGUAGUAGAGGCAUUCGUCAAGGUUGUCCCCUAUCACCAUAUCUUUUUGUCCUUGCAGUAAAUGAACUCUCGCUAGCCCUACAUGAUGCUAUGAGAGCCAACCACCUAUCAGGUAUUUCUCUUGGACCAAAUUGUCCUUCGAUUCACUCUUUGAUGUUUGCGGAUGACUUGAUGGUUUGUGGCAAAGCUAGUAUGCAGGAAGCUGCCACUGUUGCUCACAUAUUGGAACAAAUUUGUCACCACUCGGGGCAGGUGCCAAAUUGGAAUAAAUCUACUAUCAUGUUUAGCAAAAAAUUUAACUCGCCGGUUAAGCAGGAUAUCAAGCAAAUAUUCCAGGUACCAGACAUCGACAACAAGACAAUUCAUCUGGGUCAUCCACUUAUACUUCCAGCCAAGGAUAGAAGUGCAGCUUACAAUUUCGUUUAUGAUAAAUUCCGAUCAAAAUUGAGUGCUUAUAAAUCUAAUAGAUUGUCCCAUGCUGCUAGGCUUACUCUUAUAAAAUCAGUCUUUUCAUCUAUACCUGUCUACUACAUGUCCAAUAUUCUUUUUUCGAAAAAAAAUUCUAACCAAGCUCAUGGCGAUUAUUAG
rnacentral:rRNA from 1 species